AACGAACGCUGGCGGCAGGCUUAACACAUGCAAGUCGAACGCCCCGCAAGGGGAGUGGCAGACGGGUGAGUAACGCGUGGGAACAUACCCUUUUCUACGGAAUAGCUCUGGGAAACUGGAAUUAAUACCGUAUACGCCCUACGGGGGAAAGAUUUAUCGGGGAAGGAGUGGCCCGCGUUGGAUUAGCUAGUUGGUGGGGUAAAGGCCUACCAAGGCGACGAUCCAUAGCUGGUCUGAGAGGAUGAUCAGCCACAUUGGGACUGAGACACGGCCCAAACUCCUACGGGAGGCAGCAGUGGGGAAUAUUGGACAAUGGGCGCAAGCCUGAUCCAGCCAUGCCGCGUGAGUGAUGAAGGCCUUAGGGUUGUAAAGCUCUUUCACCGAUGAAGAUAAUGACGGUAGUCGGAGAAGAAGCCCCGGCUAACUUCGUG
rnacentral:rRNA from 1 species